GACCGUGAGCGGUGGAUCACUCUGGUCGUGUGUCGAUGAAGAGCGCAGCCAACUGUGUUAAUUAAUGCAAUCUGUAUGCUGCUCUGAGCACCGACAUCUUGAGCGCAUAUUGCGGUCAUCAGUUUGUCUUAAGUCACGCCUGUCCGAGGGUCG
rnacentral:rRNA from 1 species